rnacentral:lncRNA from 1 species
UCAAAUUAUAUCAAUGUAACAAGUAUUAUAUUAGAUAAAUGAGAUGUAAAGUUAUAAUGUUAUAUUACAUAACGUACUCAAUCUAUUACAAUGUUAUAUUACACAAUUGAGACAUAAAGUUGCUUGCUAUGUUAUACAACAUGCUCUAAUUUCUCAUGCUGGGUAACCUCUGCUCGUACCAUGCCCAUAACCUAUCAUAGGUAAUACAGUGGCCAUUAAACAAAAUAUGUGCUGCAACCCAGCUCCUAUACAAUGAGAGAUCCUUA